AGCUCAACAAUACAGAUGUGGCUGCUGGGCUACACUGGUGACAGCAGGGCACAGAGAAAGUGGCUAUUUCUACACUCAGUGCUCAGACCUGUGGGUGUGAAGAAUGGUUUGCAGCCUCAUAUU
rnacentral:snoRNA from 1 species